rnacentral:lncRNA from 1 species
AAUUUUGUUCGCGGCGGUGCCGCCCGUAAUUUUCAACUCAUCUGUCGUUCCUUUUGCUCUGAUUUAGCCAUGGGGGUGCUCAGAAUCAAAUUUCGAGUGAAUAGAAGAAUUUUUACUUUUUUUGGCGGUCAAAGGUGGCUCCGGCACAGCGGUCGGCUCCAUUUUUCAGCGGUUGGUUCUUCUUCUCUAGCGGGAAGUUAGCAGUUAGGGUUUGGGUUCGGUGUGAUGCGAAAUAUUUAUAUUUAUCUCGCGUAAAUCUAGAUCUUUCAUCGCGUUUGAUCUCAAUCAUUCGAUCGCGUUUAAAAAUGAAAUGAAUUUGAACUAUUCAUCGCGAUUUGAUCUUAACCAUUCGAUCACGUUUAAAGAGGAAAUGAAUCUGUAUCGUCCAUCGCGUUUAAUCGCAACCAUUUGAUCGCCUUGAGGAGGGAACGGAUCCGAACUGUCCACGCACGUGAGAACACUUCUGGACUGUCCGAUCGCGGGGCAUGAGGAUCGCCAGCGUAGCCUUCAGUAUGAUACCGAGUUAGCGUGUCUUGCCACACGGCG